GGUGGGGUUCCCGAGCGGCCAAAGGGAGCAGACBBBCUUCGAAGGUUCGAAUCCUUCCCCCACCACCA
rnacentral:tRNA from 1 species